rnacentral:rRNA from 1 species
GACGAACGCUGGCGGCGUGCCUAAUACAUGCCAGUAGAACGCUGAAGGAGGAGCUUGCUCUUCUGGAUGAGUUGCGAACGGGUGAGUAACGCGUAGGUAACCUGCCUGGUAGCGGGGGAUAACUAUUGGAAACGAUAGCUAAUACCGCAUAACAGUAGAUGUUGCAUGACAUUUACUUAAAAGGUGCAAUUGCAUCACUACCAGAUGGACCUGCGUUGUAUUAGCUAGUUGGUGGGGUAACGGCUCACCAAGGCGACGAUACAUAGCCGACCUGAGAGGGUGAUCGGCCACACUGGGACUGAGACACGGCCCAGACUCCUACGGGAGGCAGCAGUAGGGAAUCUUCGGCAAUGGACGGAAGUCUGACCGAGCAACGCCGCGUGAGUGAAGAAGGUUUUCGGAUCGUAAAGCUCUGUUGUAAGAGAAGAAUGAGUGUGAGAGUGGAAAGUUCACACUGUGACGGUAUCUUACCAGAAAGGGACGGCUAACUACGUG